ACUCCAAUUAAGAGUCCGGAGGGGCUGGAGCCCUAACCCAGCAGUCUUAGGGCGUGAGACGGGUUACAACCGGGACAGGACACCAGUCUAUCGCAGGGCCACAAAUAGACA